rnacentral:rRNA from 1 species
AUUCCAGCUCUGAUAGCGUAUGCUAAAGUUGUUGUGGUUAAAACGCCCGUAGUCUAACUACUCAGGACAAAACUACCGGUGAUCUUUGGAGAGCCGGGGGGGAUGUCCUAUUGGCGAGGUAUGUGGUUUGCCUUAACUGGCCGAUCACUUUUCUUCUGCCGAGUUACCCUGAGUAACUCUACAUGCUCUCAGUAGGUUUUUGCUUGCAAGUUCCAGCUGGGUAUAACGGAAUAUGGGUUUGGCCUUUUGCUGAACUGGAGCCGUACCGAUGAUUAAUAGGAGCGAUUGGGGGUGUUCGUAUUGUACCGGGAGAGGUGAAAUUCUGUGAUCGGUGCAAGACGUCCAAGUGCUAAAGCAUUCACCAAGCGCGCUUCCAUUGAUCAAGGACGAAAGUAAGGGGAUCGAAGACGAUCAGAUACCGUCGUAGUCUUUACAGUAAGCGAUACCGACCGGGGAUUAGUAGACGUUACACGGAUGACUCCUCCAGCACCCAAAGAGAAAUCUUCAGUUUUUGGGUUCCGGGGGGAGUAUGGUCGCAAGGCUGAAACUUAAAGGAAUUGACGGAAGGGCACCACCAGGAGUGGAACCUGCGGCUUAAUUUGACCCAACACGGGGAAACUUACCAAGUCCAGACAUAGUAAGGAUUGACAGGCUGAAGCCUUUUCUUGAUUCUAUGGGUGGUGGUGCAUGGCCGUUCUUAGUUGGUGGAGUGAUUUGUCUGGUUAAUUCCGAUAACGAACGAGACCGAGGCCGCUUAUUAGGACGAGGUAUCGCCAGAUAGGUGAAGCAGUGAUGUUUUCCCAGAGCUGUGGAUCUUUGACGCAUACCCACGACACCUCUUAGCGGGACCGUUACCGUUUAGGUAGUGGAAGUUCUCGGCAAUAACAGGUCUGUGAUGCCCUUAGAUGUCUUGGGCCGCACGCGCGUUACAAUGGUUAUAUCAAUAGGUUGCCUUGACCGAAAGGUUUGGGGAACCCCAAUAAAAGUCUCCAUGAUGGGGAUUGGCUUCUGUAAUUACUGGCCAUCAACGAGGAAUUCCUAGUAAGUGCACUUCAUCAAGGUGCGCUGAUUACGUCCCUGCCCUUUGUACACACCGCCCGUCGCUCCUACCGAUUGAAUGCUCCGGUGAAGGCGUGGGAGAAAUAACCAGGUUCGCUUGGCGAUUUCAAACACGAAUGAACCUUAGUGUUUAGGGGAAGGAGAAGUCGUAACAAGGUUUCCGUAGGGGAACCUGCGGAAG